UACGGAGGGGGCAAGCGUUACUCGGAAUUAUUGGGCGUAAAGGGCGCGUAGGCGGUCGUGCGCGUCGGGGGUGAAAGCCCUGGGCUUAACCCAGGAACAGCCUCCGAUACGGCAAGACUUGAGUCCGGGAGAGGGGAGCAGAAUUCCCAGUGUAGCGGUGAAAUGCGUAGAUAUUGGGAGGAAUACCAGUGGCGAAGGCGGCUCCCUGGACCGGUACUGACGCUGAGGCGCGAAAGCGUGGGUAGCAAACAGG
rnacentral:rRNA from 1 species